ACUUCGGGAUAAGCCUGGGAAACUGGGUCUAAUACCGGAUAGGACCAUGGACUUCACGGUUUGUGGUGGAAAGCUUUUGCGGUGUGGGAUGGGCCCGCGGCCUAUCAGCUUGUUGGUGGGGGUAAUGGCCUACCAAGGGCGACGACCGGGUAGCCGGCCUGAGAGGGUGUCCGGCCACACUGGGACUGAGAUACGGCCCAGACUCCUACGGGAGGCAGCAGUGGGGAAUAUUGCACAAUGGGCGCAAGCCUGAUGCAGCGACGCCGCGUGAGGGAUGACGGCCUUCGGGUUGUAAACCUCUUUCAAUAGGGACGAAGCGCAAGUGACGGUACCUAUAGAAGAAGCACCGGCCAACUACGUG
rnacentral:rRNA from 1 species